rnacentral:tRNA from 1 species
GGGCGGGUGGCGGAAUAGGCAGACGCCUGGGACUUAAAAUCCCAUGUCCCGUAAGGGACGUGAGGGUUCGAAUCCCUCCCCGCCCA